rnacentral:tRNA from 1 species
GGGCUGGUGGCGGAAUUGGUAGACGCGACAGACUUAAAAUCUGUUGACCGCAAGGUCGUGGGGGUUCGAGUCCCCCCCUGCCCA